AUUGAACGCUGGCGGCAUGCCUUACACAUGCAAGUCGAACGGUAACAGGUUAAGCUGACGAGUGGCGAACGGGUGAGUAAUAUAUCGGAACGUGCCUUAGAGUGGGGGAUAACCAGUCGAAAGACUGGCUAAUACCGCAUACGAUCUACGGAUGAAAGUGGGGGAUCGCAAGACCCCAUGCUCUUAGAGCGGCCGAUAUCUGAUUAGCUAGUUGGUGGGGUAAAGGCUCACCAAGGCGACGAUCAGUAGCUGGUCUGAGAGGACGACCAGCCACACUGGGACUGAGACACGGCCCAGACUCCUACGGGAGGCAGCAGUGGGGAAUUUUGGACAAUGGGGGCAACCCUGAUCCAGCAAUGCCGCGUGUGUGAAGAAGGCCUUCGGGUUGUAAAGCACUUUUGUUCGGAAAGAAAUCGUCCUGGCUAAUAUCUGGGAUGGAUGACGGUACCGGAAGAAUAAGCACCGGCUAACUACGUGCCAGCCGCCGCGGUAAGAC
rnacentral:rRNA from 1 species